CAGACAGACUAUGUACUACUAAUCCUAGUGUGGCUCUUAGGUUAGAACUCACCCCAAUGCCUCCACCGUAAGCUACACUAAAAUAUUACAUACUCUUCUUUUCUUCAUUUAGAGGACCAUCCUACCUCCACCUCCUCAAAGGAUACUGAUGUGCAACAGAAGGUGUUCAUGGAGAUCGUUAUUGAAGCACCACCAUUCAUAGUAGAGUACCCAGGAGCAAUACUUGGUAACUUUCCCUUGCAUCGUGUGAAGAAAAGAUCUAUUAGACCAUAAGUAAAUCAACAUUUAAACACUAUGUCCUACUGGGUCUGCUCUGUAUUUUAGCUCUUCUUGCUUGACUUAAAUUCCUCCUCAAACUGUUAUACAGGUGAAGGAUGCUUCCCUUUCCACCCCCAUCAUAUGUCUCUAAAAUAAAUACAUGAAUCAACAGAAGAUCAUGAUGUGAAAAACAUAUUAUUAUGCUUCACCCAUUCAUCAUAUGAGGGAAAGUGAUUAUAUAAAAGUCACUUGUAAGCUAAAUGUUUGUAAAUCCUCUUCCCGAGAUAGAAUGUAGAAGGCGCAAAACUAGCAAAGGUGUCUUCCCAUACAGAUGAAGUCUCCCAGUAACAGCCACAUGUGGUCAUCUCUGUCUGACUCAGGUUUCAGGUUCCCAGUCUCUUCCUAGGAAAAGAUCUUUCCCAGGCACAAGGGGAGGUGUCAGCUAGGAAAAGCCUCUGCCUGCAUCCACUGUUUACUAAAACAAAUCAAUGGAAAUUUCUUCUUACACAAGGACAGCUCUUCACAGCCAGUUUUGUAUCUGCUGAGCUCUGCAGUUUCCCUGAAGAACCAACUGCAAAUAUGCUAAGAAAUAUAACUGGGGAGAGAUUUUUACUCUUCCACAUACUUCAACAACUUUUGAAUAGAAAGUGUAAUUCAUGACAUCCUCAUUGCAGAAAAAUUUACCAUCUACCAGGCAGGCCUGGGAACUUAGAAUGAUAAUAUGUAUUAAAAAAAGAAUUUAGGUAUGUUAUGUGCAUGGACCAAA